GACGAACGCUGGCGGUGUGCUUAACACAUGCAAGUCGAACGGUAAGGCCCUUUCGGGGGUACACGAGUGGCUAACGGGCGAGUAACACGUGAGUAACCUGCCCUCAUCUCUUGGAUAACAGUCGGAAACGGUUGCUAAUACUGUAUAUGAGCUUGCAAGGCAUCUUGUGGGUCGGAAAGAUUUGUUCUGGUUGGGGAUGGACUCGCGGCCUAUCAGCUUGUUGGUGUGGUAGUGGCUCACCAAGGCUUCGACGGGUAGCCGGCCUGAGAGGGCGACCGGCCACAUUGGGACUGAGAUACGGCACAAACUCCUACGGGAGGCAGCAGUGGGGAAUAUUGCACAAUGGACGGAAGUCUGAUGCAGCAACGCCGCGUGCGGGAUGACGGCCUUCGGGUUGUAAACAGCUUUCAAUUGUGAUGAAGAUUUUUUGUGACGGUAGCAGAAGAAGAAGCACCGGCUAACUACGUG
rnacentral:rRNA from 1 species